GACUCUAGUCUGGCGCUGUGAAGAGACAUGAGAGGUGUAGAAUAAGUGGGAGGCCGGGCGCGCGCUCGGCGCGGCGGGGCGACCCGCCCGCCGGCGUCCCGGCCGCCGGUGAAAUACCACUACUCUGAUCGUUUUUUCACUUACCCGGUGAGGCGGGGGGGCGAGCCCCGAGGGGGGCUCUCGCUUCUGGCGCCAAGCGCCCGGCGCGCAGCCGGGCGCGACCCGCUCCGGGGAC
rnacentral:ncRNA from 1 species